AUCUCUGCAUACCUGAGGUCUUCUGAAGCGUGGUGUGGAGAUGUUCCUCAUCAGCACAGGUGGUCUUCAUUCAUUGCCAAACCUAUGCAGCAACUUCCCUGUUUGGUUUCCUACAUCAGGUUGAGCCACCCUCCAAGGCUUUGGGCUCAUAGAAAAGAAGGAUUUUACCUCAGCAUCCUUGGUUUCACCCAUUUUCCCACUGAAGCAUCACUCUACAGGCUGCUGAGGAAUGCUGACCACCAUAGGGUUUGUGGGAAUGCAAUGCUGGGGAACCCGAUGAUGGGGCACCAAGGCAGGGCUGUGGCAGUAGCAGAGAUGUGCCCUCCCCUCGGCUGCCAAACACAGCCAGCAGCAGCCGGACCUGUCAGCCACCAGCAGCAGAUGUUCUCCUCCCACAUCCAGGCUAAUGAUUGGCAGAUGUUGCUUCCAGAGGAAACGAGGAUAUUUUCAGCAUCUCUCUCUAACAAGGGCUCAGACGGAGCCCCUGGGCAGCAGAGACUGCCUCUUGCUCAGACCCAGCACUCUGCAAAUUCCCUUUUCCAUCUUGCUCCAUCAGCUCUUGGAGGGUUCAAAGCCACCAGGGCUGGGAACUUUGUGCAAUGCCUUACAGCACUUCCUUUCCACGGGAUGGGGAAGGGACGAGUCUGCUCUGCUCCAGGUUUUGCUUUGUUCUUGACAGCAUCUCCAGCUGCACAUGAAGUCCGCUGCUAUUUCAAGGUCCCUCUCCUUCCCCUCCAUCCCCAGGGGCUUCUAGCUGAGCAGCAGAAUAGAAAACGACAGAUUAUUGCUGCAUCUCGCUGAGCCUCUCUCUCGCACGUAAAAGAUGGUCUGUUUUGCUCACAAGCAUUUUGAAAGGGAGUCAGCACAGGAAGGAACUGCACUUUUUCCAACCCUUUGUGCUUUUUGCUGCCCUGGUAUCUCCCCAGGAUGCCGCCUUGGCUGCGGUGCCCCAGGUCCCACUCAAGUCCCACACAUCCCCCUGGACAUUUCCUACCUAUUCCCCAGAGCCUGAGAGCAGCACAAAGAGCUGUGAGCCCUGGUAGCAUCCUGCUUGGUCUGCUUACCAGCUCUAAUCUUGCUUCUCAUUCAUACGUCUUAUUUAUUCCUCUUGGGUGACAACCAUCAAUCUGCAGCUGUGCUUCUUUUACCCUACACUUGGCAACCUUUUUUUGGCUGAAUGGGUGCAAGUUUACUUAGGCAGUUACGCUGCUGGAUGUGUAUUUACAGGGAUUCUUCAUUUCUACAUUUGAUUAUGUUGUGUUAUAGGGAAUGAUGCAUUUCUUUUUUGUGAGAGUCUUAUUAAUUUUAGACUCGCUACUUGCGUCGUGGUCCAUUUGGAUUGAAAUUGGUUUUCAAUUUAAAACAGCUAAAAACCAGCAUCAAAGAUGGCUUUUAUUAGUUAAAUAAAACCAUUUAAAACACGCUAACUACGGAGGAAAAUAGAAUCUUAUCUGAGCAAGCAUUUAGAACUGGUUUCCUAAACAAGAUAAGUGCUCUCUGCAAUGAGGGAGCUGAGUUCCUUGUACCAAACUUUCAUAUUCUGUAUGUUUUAAAAUGAAUGUAUUACAGUAGUUUUAUUCGCGGGUAGGGAAAGGAGAAUGAGGCUUUCCAGUUUUGGCUGGUGGGGCUGAGGUGGUGGGGAAUGCCAGAGCAGGUUUUGCACCCAAACAUCCCUUUUGCAGGGAGGAUCCUGGCAGGAGAGCUGCACACGUAGCACAGGUGCUCUUUGCUUUGCGCAGUGGAUUUUCCCUUCCAACCACACAAGCAGAAACCCAGCAUUACAGUGCAAUAGCCACAGCUGGCAGGCAGGCAGCCCAUCAUCUCUCUCAACGUAGAAAUUGUUAUUAUUUGUCUUGCCACAGCACCGAAUCCAGUCCAUAACUUGUCUCUCUCCCUCCUAGCAAGGGUAAUUUUUUCCUAUUUGCAGGUCCUAUCUGACAGUAAUUGGCCACCGCUGCCUGGCUGCUGUUUUCACUCUAACAAUACGGCACCAAAUAAAUGGCCCCGUGUUGCUAUCAGUGGUUUUCUGCCAGUGUGGGUCACGUUAUCUCGUGAAAAUGAAUUCUGCAGGCUGCACAUAAAGAGGGACAGUGCUACCCUAAUAAAAAAUGGGAAUCAUUAGCACCACGCUAAUGAAAACGUCCUGCUGGUGGGGAAGCUCUCAGCCUUUUUGGAGAGCCUGGGCAUGCCGAGCUGCAUUCCUAAAAGGCAGCAAUGCUGGAGCAGAGUGGGGGAAUUAUGUGGGUUUUCUAGGGGCUGCAGACCCUCUGAGCUUGGGGACCAAAGGCAUCAACAAUGCAUACCUGUGUGCUUUCAAUUCUCUGGCAACUGGCAGCGGUUUAAUGUGUAUGUAUCACCAGUGCAAUUUUAUGAGCUCUGGUCCCACUGGCAUCAUUUUAUUUUUUUUUUUAAAUCCCUUUUCCAGUGUAAUUGCUGUUUGUUUUGUCAUUUCUCAGUGGACAAUUACAGUUCAAAAACAAGAGAGCUUUUGAAGAUUGUAAGCGGAGGCUGUGGGCUUCAUUAAUGUGCCUUUAAUACACUGUGGAAACACACUUGAACUCACCUGCCCGAGGCCUCAGACGUGGGAAUCUGGCUCUGCAAAGCACUGAUUAUUUGAUCUAUUUAAAAUACUUCCAGUAUUAGCCUGGUCUCCUGGAUACAUUUCAACGUCAGCAGUUUGGGAGGCUGUAAUAUCUCUUCCAGGCCAUUCUGCCAUUCUCUAACUUGUAGGAAAUGGAGCCUCAGUGUUGGAAAUGCCACUGUUUGAGUCACCUGGUCUCUUUUUGACACCUACUUGUGACCGAUUUGGGAAUAA